GAUACCUCGGGGAAAUAAAUCUCCACCAGCAGUGGCAUCGACCCAGUGGUUGUAAAUAACCUCAUCAUAGAUACCAGGACUAAAUUUUGUAUAUACGUCAGACGCGCGUUUCGUCUAUAAACUACUGUUGACUUGUUAACUUUAUUCAGCAACUGACAAUUGAUAAACAUAAGAUUGUAAAUUUUAACUUAUUAAAAAUACCAGGCAUAUAGUGUUGUACAAUAGAAGCACGUUUCGUUGUUUUUAAAGACUUGUCAGUUUCGACGUCACUCGAAUCAAAACAUUUUAAAGUCCAAAUAAAGUACGAAGUUAAAACAAAAUGGAGGACUAAAAUAUCUGGCAGUUUUUGUUUUGUCAAGGUAGUAACCAAGCA
rnacentral:lncRNA from 1 species